rnacentral:lncRNA from 1 species
UUCUCUCUCUAUAUCUUGUCUCCCUCUCCCUUCUCUCUAGAACCUUCUGGUUCUUUCUUCUCCGAUGAAUUUCACCGUCUCCGACCACAACCUCACCAGAAUCUAUGGCUUCUCACGUCAUAGAUGUCGUAUACUCACCUCCUAUUACUCUUGCGGGCCUGAUGCUUGAAGGUUUUAGACAAGACCUUCGCCGACUCCAGGUUUCCAGCCAACUCCGGCUUUGCUCCAGCAUAUCCUAGCCUCUUGAGCCUGAUUUUGACCUUAUCCAACUUAGAUCAGACCUUUUUCAAAGCCUUUCUCACCAUAGGGUAGCUAAUAAAGGUUUUACUUCAAUUCUUUUUAGAUUCGUUGUGUAUCUAUGAUAUACGUGAGUUUUCAAACGGUUUCCCGAAAUUUUUCUUUGAAAAUUACUUUCAAAAACCCUUCUUUUCCGAUUUAGGGUUUUCUGGAAAAUGUUCUGGAGUUUUAUGAUUUUUCUUCUUUGUGUUGUCCUCUAUUCUACUGUGUUUUCUAUAAUAUGGCCUUGUAGAUUUUUCUACUAUAUUUUAUCAUGUUCUUAUAUGUUUAUCAUACUGUGUUUUCCUAUAUGCUUUCUUACUAUACCUUUCCCGACGAUUCUUGUGUUUUUUGCUAUACUUUUCUUGUUAAGUUCUUAUGGUUCUUUGUCUGCCUUCUAUCGAGCCUUGUUUAGGGUUCUGCUAAGCAUGUUUCUCCUGUUGUUCUUAUCAGUAUUUGCCGAUGUUUGAAUCUUUCUACUGUGAUUGCAUGUUACUCCUGUUAAUCUUUGCUAUAUUCUCUCUAGUCUUUUACUAUAGGUGUUUACCGUUAAGUUAUUUGAUUUUUGUUACUGGACUCUGUUCAUGUUCUUACAUGCUUCAUCUACUUGUGUUCACAUUGUAUUAUCUCCUUCUUCUGAACUUGUUUAGGUUCCGAGUUUUCUCAAAAUAUGUACUUCAUGAUUAUUCUUUUUUUGUCAUUCAACAUGCUAUCAUAUCUGUUUUGUUGAGACUCUGAAACAAAUAGCUUGCUUCCAUGUCUGAUUCAAUUUUGAGACCCUAUGAUUUGGGAGUUUCCUCUGAUGAUUUUGAUUCUUUGUAUUCGAGUUAAGGCUCCACUUUAAGACCCUGGACUCUCAGACUCACUAUGAGUCUGUAUCUCUUUGCUUAUGAUUUUUUUAGUUUUUAUGAUUCUGAACUCCUCUCUCUUACAUAACUCGACAAUCUCUUCUUGAUUCACAUGUUUGUGUACUUUAUAUAUGAGAAGUUUUCUUUCAAGAGGCUUGGCCAACUACUAAUUAAUUCUGAAUCCCUUUGAUGGUGUUUACUUGAUUUUUCCGAAUUUUCCCUACGUGAACCUUUCUUUAUUUUUUUUUCUCGACCUGAUUCAUUCCAGUAAGCAUAUAAUUUUGGUUUAAGUGAUUGAUUCCCUUUUUUUUUACAAAACCGUGUACUAAUUGGUUUGCUUCCUUAAAUAUCUUCUAUGCACUUACCCUUUAUUAUCAUGUUGGGAAAAUAUUCUUUCAAAGUCCAUCCCCUUAAUUGUUUUACCUGUUUGAAUUUGAAUCCCUUAAUUAAAGGGAGUCUUAUUGAAUUUAUCGACAAUCAGGAUUCUAUUAUUCUCUUACCUUAUUUUCUCAUGGCUUUCACACAAUAAAUACACAACCCUUUUUUACAAGACACACACUUCUAAUUGCAUGUUCUUACACAAUACUCUUCUCUGAGAUUUUUUGUAUUGCUUGCUCGCAAAUUUGGCUUACAAUGCUCCUGCUUUCAUUUAUUUGCCUGAAGCUGGUAUGUCCUAAUUUUGAUUCCAGCAUCACCAAUUUGUUUGUUCACAAGCUUUUACAUCCAUUCCUACCUUACUGUUUUGUAAAGUUCAACAUUUAAAGUAGUAUGCUUAUGUCUUACUAUCUGUUUCUGCAAUGAAUCCAUACUCCCUACCCAUUUUAUGUGUUCGAGCUAUGGUUUAAAACAUGGAAAUAUACAAGUUAUUGUCCAUGGAUUAAAACCAGAUCUUCUGGAUCCUAGCCUCUAAAAAGUGUAAUAAGAUUGUGGGCAUGUUAGCAUUCCAUAUUGCUGGACAUGUCCGCAUCCUGCUCUUGUCUCUUUCAAUUCCCCCAUACCCCACUCCCCUAUGUGUGUUGAGUUAAGGUUUAGCCUAGCAGCAUCCAGAUUGUUAUCCAGGGCUGAACCUGACCUUCAAUAGGUCCUAACUCUCUAAUUUCUAAGGCUGACAGGUUGGUUAGGGGUGUGCAAGCAACCCAAAUUGCUUGGCAUGACCACCACCUUGUCAUUUCCCCUUUAUUGCACUUACACCUACUUCUAGCCUCUAAGUUCUGCCCCUAUCCUAUGAGCCUUGCCUUGGGACCUUGAGUUCUCUCUGAACUUGGACAUUUGAGGGUUGACCCUUCCAAAUUGCACUAUAAUUUAAUUCAUUACUAAUAUUUGGAGUGUAAGCAUUGCCUGGAGUUCUUGAAGCUCCUUGGAACUUUGGCACAUCCCAAAUAAUAUAAAGGCUUUGGAAAUCUGAUCUCUUGGGAGUUGGUUUGCUUCAUGCUUCAGACAACAGCCUGAAUCAGGCUCUCAUUGGUUGGGACCAUUUAGCUUUCUGAUGUAUUUUACUUUUCUUUGUUCAUUCGGGUCUGUAAUAAUUUGUAAUAACUAUG